rnacentral:rRNA from 1 species
GAGAGGGAGCCUGAGAAACGGCUACCACAUCCAAGGAUGGCAGCAGGCGCGCAAAUUACCCAAUCCCGAUACGGGGAGGUAGUGACAAUAAAUAACAAUACGGGGUUCUUAUGGAUCUCGUAAUUGGAAUGAGUACAAUUUAAAUCUCUUAACGAGGAACAAUUGGAGGGCAAGUCUGGUGCCAGCAGCCGCGGUAAUUCCAGCUCCAAUAGCGUAUAUUAAAGUUGUUCCAGUUAAAAAGCUCGUAGUUGAAUUUCGGGAUCAAUUUAUCGGUCGUGCCAAUGGUAUGAACUGGUACAAUUGGUUUCUCCCUUCUGACGAAGCAUGAUGUCAUUAAUUUGGUGUCGUGGGGAAUCAGGACUGUUACUUUGAAAAAAUUAGAGUGUUUAAAGCAAGCAUUAGCUUGAAUACAUUAGCAUGGAAUAAUGAACUAGGACGUUUGAUCCUAUUUCGUUGGUUUCUAGGAUCGACAUAAUGAUUAAUAGGGAUAGUUGGGGGCAUUAGUAUUCAAUUGUCAGAGGUGAAAUUCUUGGAUUUACUGAAGACUAACUACUGCGAAAGCAUUUGCCAAGGAUGUUUUCAUUAAUCAAGAACGAAAGUUAGGGGAUCGAAGACGAUCAGAUACCGUCGUAGUCUUAACCAUAAACUAUGCCGACUAGGGAUCGGAUGAUGUUAAUUUUUUAAUGACUCAUUCGGCGCCUUACGGGAAACCAAAGUGUUUGGGUUCCGGGGGGAGUAUGGUCGCAAGGCUGAAACUUAAAGGAAUUGACGGAAGGGCACCACCAGGGGUGGAGCCUGCGGCUUAAUUUGACCCAACACGGGGAAACUCACCAGGUCCAGACAUAGUAAGGAUUGACAGAUUGAGAGCUCUUUCUUGAUUCUAUGGGUGGUGGUGCAUGGCCGUUCUUAGUUGGUGGAGUGAUUUGUCUGGUUAAUUCCGAUAACGAACGAGACCUUAACCUGCUAAAUAGCUAGGCUUAGCAUUGCUAGGUCGUCAGCUUCUUAGAGGGACUAUCGGUGUUUAACCGAUGGAAGUUUGAGGCAAUAACAGGUCUGUGAUGCCCUUAGAUGUUCUGGGCCGCACGCGCGCUACACUGAUGAAGUCAACGAGUUCAUUCCCUUUGUCGGAAGACAUGGGUAAUCUUUUGAAACUUCAUCGUGCUGGGGAUAGAGCAUUGCAAUUAUUGCUCUUAAACGAGGAAUCCCUAGUAAGUACAAGUCAUCAGCUUGUGCUGAUUACGUCCCUGCCCUUUGUACACACCGCCCGUCGCUACUACCGAUCGAAUGGCUUAGUGAGGACUUCGGAUUGAGCUUCGGAAGCUGUAAAAGGCAUCCGAUUUUUAAAAAGUUGUUCAAACUUGGUCAUUUAGAGGAAGUAAAAGUCGUAACAAGGUU